ACGGCCAUAUUAUAUUGAAAUAGUUUCUCAUACGAUCACAGAAGUUGAGCAACAUCGAGCCUGGUCAGUACCUAGAUGGGUGACCGCUUGGGAAUACCAGGUGCAGUA